rnacentral:rRNA from 1 species
GAUGAACGCUGGCGGCGUGCUUAACACAUGCAAGUCGAACGAAACACCUUAUUUGAUUUUCUUCGGAACUGAAGAUUUGGUGAUUGAGUGGCGGACGGGUGAGUAACGCGUGGGUAACCUGCCCUGUACAGGGGGAUAACAGUCAGAAAUGACUGCUAAUACCGCAUAAGACCACAGCACCGCAUGGUGCAGGGGUAAAAACUCCGGUGGUACAGGAUGGACCCGCGUCUGAUUAGCUGGUUGGUGAGGUAACGGCUCACCAAGGCGACGAUCAGUAGCCGGCUUGAGAGAGUGAACGGCCACAUUGGGACUGAGACACGGCCCAAACUCCUACGGGAGGCAGCAGUGGGGAAUAUUGCACAAUGGGGGAAACCCUGAUGCAGCGACGCCGCGUGAGUGAAGAAGUAUCUCGGUAUGUAAAGCUCUAUCAGCAGGGAAGAAAAUGACGGUACCUGACUAAGAAGCCCCGGCUAACUACGUGCCAGCAGCCGCGGUAAUACGUAGGGGGCAAGCGUUAUCCGGAAUUACUGGGUGUAAAGGGUGCGUAGGUGGUAUGGCAAGUCAGAAGUGAAAACCCAGGGCUUAACUCUGGGACUGCUUUUGAAACUGUCAGACUAGAGUGCAGGAGAGGUAAGCGGAAUUCCUAGUGUAGCGGUGAAAUGCGUAGAUAUUAGGAGGAACAUCAGUGGCGAAGGCGGCUUACCGGACUGAAACUGACACUGAGGCACGAAAGCGUGGGGAGCAAACAGG